GUACACAAAAAUGCACAUGCUGUGAGCUCGAUGAGUAGGGCGGGACACGUGGUAUCCUGUCUGAAUAUGGGGGGACCAUCCUCCAAGGCUAAAUACUCCUGACUGACCGAUAGUGAACCAGUACCGUGAGGGAAAGGCGAAAAGAACCCCGGCGAGGGGAGUGAAAAAGAACCUGAAACCGUGUACGUACAAGCAGUGGGAGCCUCUUUAUGGGGUGACUGCGUACCUUUUGUAUAAUGGGUCAGCGACUUAUAUUCUGUAGCAAGGUUAACCGAAUAGGGGAGCCGAAGGGAAACCGAGUCUUAACUGGGCGUUAAGUUGCAGGGUAUAGACCCGAAACCCGGUGAUCUAGCCAUGGGCAGGUUGAAGGUUGGGUAACACUAACUGGAGGACCGAACCGACUAAUGUUGAAAAAUUAGCGGAUGACUUGUGGCUGGGGGUGAAAGGCCAAUCAAACCGGGAGAUAGCUGGUUCUCCCCGAAAGCUAUUUAGGUAGCGCCUCGUGAAUUCAUCUCCGGGGGUAGAGCACUGUUUCGGCAAGGGGGUCAUCCCGACUUACCAACCCGAUGCAAACUGCGAAUACCGGAGAAUGUUAUCACGGGAGACACACGGCGGGUGCUAACGUCCGUCGUGAAGAGGGAAACAACCCAGACCGCCAGCUAAGGUCCCAAAGUCAUGGUUAAGUGGGAAACGAUGUGGGAAGGCCCAGACAGCCAGGAUGUUGGCUUAGAAGCAGCCAUCAUUUAAAGAAAGCGUAAUAGCUCACUGGUCGAGUCGGCCUGCGCGGAAGAUGUAACGGGGCUAAACCAUGCACCGAAGCUGCGGCAGCGACACUGUGUGUUGUUGGGUAGGGGAGCGUUCUGUAAGCCUG
rnacentral:rRNA from 1 species